AACGAACGCUGGCGGCAUGCCUAACACAUGCAAGUCGAACGAGACCUUCGGGUCUAGUGGCGCACGGGUGCGUAACGCGUGGGAACCUGCCCUUAGGUUCGGAAUAACUCCCCGAAAGGGGUGCUAAUACCGGAUAAUGUCUUCGGACCAAAGAUUUAUCGCCUUUGGAUGGGCCCGCGUUGGAUUAGCUAGUUGGUAGGGUAAAAGCCUACCAAGGCGACGAUCCAUAGCUGGUCUGAGAGGAUGAUCAGCCACACUGGGACUGAGACACGGCCCAGACUCCUGCGGGAGGCAGCAGUGGGGAAUAUGGGACAAUGGGCGAAAGCCUGAUCCAGCAAUGCCGCGUGAGUGAUGAAGGCCGUAGGGUUGUAAAGCUCUUUUACCCGGGAUGAUAAUGACAGUACCGGGAGAAUAAGCUCCGGCUAACUCCGUG
rnacentral:rRNA from 1 species